UACGAAGGGGGCUAGCGUUGCUCGGAAUGACUGGGCGUAAAGGGUGCGUAGGCGGCUCAUACAGUCAGGCGUGAAAUUCCUGGGCUCAACCUGGGGACUGCGCUUGAGACGUGUGGGCUUGAGUGGGGAAGAGGGUCGUGGAAUUCCCAGUGUAGAGGUGAAAUUCGUAGAUAUUGGGAAGAACACCGGUGGCGAAGGCGGCGACCUGGUCCUUGACUGACGCUGAGGCGCGAAAGCGUGGGGAGCAAACAGG
rnacentral:rRNA from 1 species